CUCGCGAGCUCGCUGGCGGCGGAGCCGUCGCCUCCGGCCUGGCGGCGGCUCCCGCCGGUCGCCGGGAGGCGCCGGAUCUGGGGCUCGGAUCGAUCUUGAAUCUAACACCGAAGGUCCCGACAUGCUCAGAUGCGAAUACCGGUUCUUCCUCAACAGCUCAGCAAAAGGUAUCUUUUCCAAGUUCCCGACUUUCUUCAUCUCGACCGGCCAAAAUCUUCCCCCUCCACCUACCCUUUGAGAUCUGCUCCUACCUGAGCCCCGCCGGCGGCACGAGCUACGGCGGCGGAUCUGGAGCCGCGGGAACUGGUGACUGAGCACCCGAGAAGAGGAGGAGGAAAAGAAAAGUGGGUGUCGUGGAUGGGAUCUGUGGCUAGUGGUUCUGGGGCUUGCCUCUUCGCGCCGUGUACAUGGUGAGCAUAUCUACUUCGAGAUUCCUGUUCUCUCCAGCGUGGAUCCGGUGUCGCGCCCGCCACCUGUUCAACAUCAAGUUUGCAUCUUUCUCUCGGGAAGCUCUAUACUUGGUGUUUCCCUUUUGUGGAGUUACUGCUUUUUCUUAUCUGUUCUACUUUAUGGAUCCAUGGAGAUUUCAAGUACCGGGUUUUGUUUGCUUGGCCUGUUGGUUCCUGUCUGGAUUCACACUGAUGCUGGCUGAAAUUCCUGAUGAUAAUACACUGUUGUAUGCCACUGUACUGCAACAUGACUGAUUUGCCACAUGCUUAUGACUUAUUAACGGAACUCAAAUGUUUUAUGUUUCACUUGCCUAGACUUGAAUACAUGUUUCCUUUCUAUUAUUUGUGCAAAGCAACCUGUACCCUAGUUCUAUUAUUUAAUGCAUUUUUAACUCUAUUCUUCUCUAAUCGGGGUAUUCUCUCUUUAUAUGUUCUAUGAUUCUUCGCUUUAUUCAGAAAUGCUCUCUUAUCUCGGUUGUCUUCUUUAUUUCUUGGUUUCGAUCUGCCUUUCCUUCUUCUAUCUAGCAAGUAAACCUCUUUUAUACCCCUUUGUAUGUGUGUUUUUCUAGCUUUGAAUACAUGCAAACUGUUCGAACAAUGUUCCUGUAUUUUAACUCUCUGUCCUUGAUAUGGAACGUGGUAGAUAUGAAGUAGAUAUGAAGAAGCUAUCUUCUAUGAGGCACACCUGGGGCGCCUACUUUUUGAAUACAUACUAUAAAGCUGAGAAGAUACUGUCUACAAUAUGAACACGGUGGAAAACGCAACUCUUGAAAUUGAUGAUGAGAUAGAUGAUGAGAUACUUGUGACUCUUGAAAUUGAUGAUGUGAGAUACUUGCGGCUCUUUGCUGUGAGAAUUCCUUCAACUUUAUGCUAGGGAAGAGAUUAUUCCCUUAAUGUGAAUCACUCACGUAGCUGGAUCUGGGAUUAUAUCAUAACAAUCAGAUCAAAUAUGACCAUUCGCAUCUCAUUUUGGGAAAGAGAUAUUAAGGAAAACAAUCAAAGAUUGUUGUUCGUGUUCACCCUAAAAGAUAUUUGUGCUUGAAAAGUAAACCACCUCUUCUUUAAGUGUGGAAAGUGCAUCAGUGUGACUCCAGAACUAAUUGAGGAUUUUGGGAUCUUCCAUCCACACAAUUUCCCUGCCAUACUCUUUUAGUUGAUUAUGCAUCCAUAAUUCCUUGUUUUCUCCUAUUUUGACCAAAAACUUGUCACCGAGAUAGUAGAUGCCUCUUGAAGGAUAAUAACAACAGGCACUUCGCAUGCAUGAGAGAAUUUUUUAUCCAAUCCAAUGAAAAACAUGCUAUAUCGAGAAAUAUCUGUCUCGUCUCUUUAUCUAGAGAGCCAUAGCUUACCUUGAACGCUUCUUCGAAGCCAUUUUCUAGCUUCCUUUUCUUAAUCUAUCCAAUGUCUCUCUCCAUAUUUGUAUUUUCCCCUUAUUCUCAUAUAAGUAUGAAGCUGUUACCUCAAUAGCCAAAGGAAGCCCUCCAAUAAUAUGCCAACAUGUCUGUGGAUAGAGAAUCAUACUCAAUACUCCUCUUUGGGAGAAUACCCAUCCAAAACAUGAUUUCAAAAGCAUCGUGCCCAUUUUUUAUGAUGUUAACCCAUUGGUGUAACAUACCAACUUGGAUGCAUUGGGGAGUCCUUUUGUGAGCACAAGAACUGUGGAAUUGACUGCAAGCACAUUUGCUAAAUGGAAGCAAGCUCUCCAAGAGAUUGCUGAGAUGAAGGCUAUGAUUUGCCGAAUACAAACCAGGGUAUCAAGGUGAACUAAAAAAGAGAGUUGUGAUACGGAUAUUGCAUAGUUGUUGAAGAACGAUUUAGUCGUAACUAGCAGUUCAGUGGGCAUUGAACCCUGGAGGAUAUGAAAAAGUUUGGUGUCUUCUAUGUUAAUGAGCAAUCAACGGAAGUACGUGACAAAGAUGCAUGUGUAUUUGGAAUAUGCUGAAUGCUAGGGAUUGGCAAGAUUACCAUUGCAAAGGCCGUGUACAAAUGAAUCCAUCAUCUCUUUCAAGGUUGUAGUUUUCUUUCAAACAUUGUUAAAAUGAGUACUCAUGAGCCUACAAGAACGAUUAAUCUCAAACCUCCAAAAGCAAGAAUGUAGAAGUCUAAGGACUCUGAGCUAGCUACCAAUGUCAAAGCAAAUUCAUUGAGCAAUAUAGAAGUUUUCAUUCUUAUUGAAGAUGUGCAUGAUUUUGAGCAAAUCAAGCCAUCAGUUGGGAAUCUCAAUUGGCUUGGCUUAGGAAGAAGCAUUCACAUGACAGUUGGAGGUAAAGAUGUUCUCAUUAAUUGUGGAGAUGGUGUGGUUGAUAAGUAUGAGGUUGAACCAAUGAGGCCUUUUCCUAGAAGAGGAGAGUAUGAUUCUGUGUCCUAAAGACAUUGUUGAUAUUAUUGGAGGGCUUCCUUUAGCUAUUGAGGUAAUAGCUUCGUACCUAUAUGGAAGUAAGGUUCAAAUACAAAUAUGGCGAGAGGCAUUGGAUAGAUGAGGAAGGAAGCUAGAAAAUGAAGUCGAAAAAACGUUCAAGGUAAUAUAUGGUUCCUUAGAUGAGAAGACGAGACAGAUACUUCUUGAUCUAGUAUGUUUUUCAUUGGAUGGAUAAAUGAAUUCCCUCGCACAUAUGGAGUACUUGUGGUCAAUAUCAUUCAAGAAGGAUCUAGUUUCUCUGUGCCAGGUGUUUGGGCAAAACAGGAGAAAACAAAGAAUUAUGGAUGCAUAAUCAAUUAAGAGAGUUUUGCCGGGAAACUGUGAGGACGGGAGAUCUCAAAAAGUCUCGAAGAGUGCUAUAAAUGUGGAAGCCCUUGUCUCACGUUUGAUGAGGGGCAAAGUAAAAUGUACUAGAUGUGAAGGAUUUGGCCAUAUGGAGGUUGAGGUUCUUGAGAUUGCACCAGGCUACUCUUGGAGGGAAAUUCUCAGAAUCUUCUUUCAAGUUGAGAUGGCUUGAUUGGCAAGGAGGCAGCGAAUGCUCUGAACUACUUAUUUUGCCUUGGGAGAACUUGGUCAUUCUUGAUCUAUAUUGCAGUUUGGCCACUGUCGCUUUUAUGUCUUGAGAUUAUCAGAAUAACUGACAACAACCGAGCCUUUUCUGUACUCGAGAAGGCCGAGGAUUUGCAAGUUUUGAUCUCUCAGCAAUUGUUGUUAUCUGCAUGCAUCUCCGGACUUAAACAUAUUUAGAGAGAUAAGGCCUGGAACGAUGUCCCUUACCAUCACAAAUUGGUCGAUUCAUAGGUAAAUCUAAAGAACUUAAGUCUCCUUAAAUCUGAGGUUCUGCAAAUUUCUGAAGGACCUUUUCAACGGACUGUUAUAAGAAAUCAGAACUUCUGAUGAUGGAACUUCCAUUCGUAUGAUUCAUAUAUCAGCUGUAUUGGUCACUUGAAAUCUCUCCCAAAUUCUAUUGGUUCCUUAAAGAAAUUUCGGAGCCAGCUUCUAAAAAAUUUUCAGAAGUGAGCUGAGCUUCCUUAUGCCAUUGGGAAUCUUGAGUUGCUGGACAUGUGUAUAAGAAGCGCCAUCAUUACUAGAUUACCUAGGUCCGUCAAGGAUUUCAAAAAAGGGUAUAUAUGUAGAGAAAGUGUAAAAUUUGUCAAAUUGAUUCGAUUGAGUCUUUUUAUAAA